rnacentral:misc_RNA from 1 species
AAAGUCGUAACAAGGUUUCCGUAGGUGAACCUGCGGAAGGAUCAUUACCAUGAUACAAAUCACCACAGUGGAUAGCAGUGCAGCAAUGCACUGUUCUAAAGAACCAUUUGUUUUAGUUAACAACAAACACAACACAACUUUUAACAAUGGAUCUCUAGGCUCUU